UACGUAGGGUGCGAGCGUUGUCCGGAAUUAUUGGGCGUAAAGGGCUCGUAGGCGGUUUGUCGCGUCGGGAGUGAAAACCUCGGGCUUAACUCGGGGCUUGCUUUCGAUACGGGCAGACUAGAGGUAUGCAGGGGAGAACGGAAUUCCUGGUGUAGCGGUGAAAUGCGCAGAGUAUCAGGAGGAACACCGGUGGCGAAGGCAGAUCUCUGGGCCGUAACUGACGCUGAGGAGCGAAAGCGUGGGGAGCGAACAGG
rnacentral:rRNA from 1 species